AAUGAACGUUGGCGGCGUGGAUUAGGCAUGCAAGUCGUGCGGAAAGGCUCCUUCGGGAGUACUCGAGCGGCGAAAGGGAGAGUAACGCGUGGAUAUCUACCCCCUGGCCUGGGAUAGCGGCGGGAAACUGCCGGUAAUACCAGAUAAUAUCUGCGGAUCAAAGGUGUGAUUCCGCCGGGGGAUGCGGCCGCGUCCUAUUAGCUAGUUGGUGAGGGAACGGCCCACCAAGGCUAAGAUGGGUAACGGGUGUGAGGGCAUGGCCCGGCUCACUGGGACUGAGACACUGCCCAGACACCUACGGGUGGCUGCAGUCGAGAAUCUUCGGCAAUGGGCGCAAGCCUGACCGAGCGACGCCGCGUGCGGGAUGAAGGCCUUCGGGUUGUAAACCGCUGUCAGAGGGGGGGAAAUGCAUGGGGGUUCUCCCUCAUGUUUGACCUAUCCUCAGAGGAAGUACGGGCUAAGUUCGUGCCAGCCGCCGCCGUAAGAC
rnacentral:rRNA from 1 species